rnacentral:rRNA from 1 species
UACGUAGGGGGCUAGCGUUGUCCGGAUUUAUUGGGCGUAAAGAGCGUGUAGGCGGCCAGGUAGGUCCGCUGUGAAAGUCCGAGGCUCAACCUCGGAAUGUCGGCGGAAACCCUCUGGCUAGAGUCCGGAAGAGGAUAGUGGAAUUCCCGGUGUAGCGGUGAAAUGCGCAGAUAUCGGGAAGAACACCCGUGGCGAAGGCGGCUCUCUGGAACGCAACUGACGCUGAGACGCGAAAGCGUGGGGAGCAAACAGG